rnacentral:rRNA from 1 species
AGGGCUUAUGGUGGAUGCCUUGGGACUAGUAGGCGAUGAAGGUCGUGCAAAGCUGCGAUAUGCUACGGGUAGGUGCUAAGAACCGACAAUCCGUAGAUUACCGAAUGGGGCAACCCAGUACAAGUUAUGUUGUACUAUCAUUAUCUGAAUACAUAGGAUAAUGAAGCGAUACCUGGUGAAGUGAAACAUCUCAGUAGCCAGAGGAAAAGAAAACGAAUGUGAUUCCGUCAGUAGCGGCGAGCGAAAGCGGAACAGCCCAAACCGGUUUUGAACCGGGGUUGUAGGACUGCAAUGUGGACUUAAGAUUGAUAGAAGAAAUAGUUGGGAAGCUAUGCCACAGAGGGUGAAAGCCCCGUAUUCGAAAUCAAUCUUAUACCUAGCAGGAUCCUGAGUACGUCGGGACACGUGAAAUCUUGACGGAAGCUACCCAGACCAUUGGGUAAGGCUAAAUACUAACUAGUCACCGAUAGCGUAUAGUACCGUGAGGGAAAGGUGAAAAGAACCCAGAGAUGGGAGUGAAAUAGAUUCUGAAACCAUAAGCUUACAAGGGGUCGGAGCACAUUAAUGUGUGACGGCGUGCUUCUUGCAUAACGAGCCGGCGAGUUAUUGUCGCAUGCAAGGUUAAGUAGUAGAUACGGAGCCGUAGGGAAACCGAGUUUUAAUAGAGCGUUGAGUAUGUGGCAAUAGACCCGAAACGGGAUGAGCUAUUCAUGAGCAGGUUGAAGUUUGAGUAACAUCAAAUGGAGGACCGAACCCACUUUCGUUGAAACGACAGGGGAUGACUUGUGGAUAGAGGUGAAAUUCCAAUCGAAUUCCGUGAUAGCUGGUUCUCGUCGAUAUGAAUUUAAGUUCAGCGUCAGAUUAUUAGUUGUAUGGAGGUAAAGCACUGAAUGUACGAUGGCCCCACCUCGGGGUACUGAAUGCAAUUAAACUCUAAAUGCCGUACAACUUAUUCUGGCAGUGAGUCUGCGGGGGAUAAGCUUCGUAGACGUGAGGGGAAGAGCCCAGACCGUUAGCUAAGGUCCCUAAAAUGUGUUAAGUGGAAAAGGAUGUUGGAAUUCUUAAACAGCAAGGAUGUUGGCUCAGAAGCAGCCAUCGUUUAAAGAGUGCGUAACAGCUCACUUGUCGAGAGUUCCUGCGCCGAAGAUGUACCGGGGCUAAACACAUUACCGAAGCUACGGACUAGUGAUAGUGGUAGACGAGCGUUCUAUAUGGGGCGAAGCAAAACCGUGAGGAUUUGUGGACUGUAUAGAAGUGAGAAUGCCGGCAUGAGUAACGAAUGGAAGUGAGAAUCUUCCAAGCCGAUUGAUUAAGGUUUCCAGGGCAAGGGUCGUCCUCCCUGGGUUAGUCAGUACCUAAGGCGAGGCCGAAAGGCGUAGUCGAUGGAUGACAGGUCAAUAUUCCUGUACCUGCACAUGAAUGAUGGAGUGACAAAGGUGGUUAAGCGAGCCCAUUACUGGAUUUGGGCUUAAGUAGCAAGUUUUAUUCGUUGGCAAAUCCGCGAAGGUAUGGCGAGCUACAAAUACGAGUAAAAGCUUCGGCAAGUAGCGAAGUCGUGUAUAUCAACUUUCAAGAAAAGCUUCUAGUUUAUCAUGUGUAGACUGUACCGAGAACGAACACACGUAAUCAAGGAGAGUAUCCUAAGGCUAGCGAGUUAACUACAGUUAAGGAACUCUGCAAAUUAAUCCCGUAAGUUCGCGAGAAGGGAUGCUCAUAGCAAUAUGAGCCGCAGUGAAGAACGAGGGGGAACUGUUUAACUAAAACACAGCUCUAUGCUAAGUUGUAAAACAACGUAUAUGGGGUGACACCUGCCCAGUGCUGGAAGGUUAAAGAAGGAGGUUAGCAGCAAUGCGAAGCUUUCGACUGAAGCCCUAGUGAACGGCGGCCGUAACUAUAACGGUCCUAAGGUAGCGAAAUUCCUUGUCAGGUAAAUUCUGUCCCGCUUGAAUGGUGUAAUCAUCUCUUGACUGUCUCGACUGUAGACUCGGUGAAAUUCUGGUAUGGGUGAAUACGCCCAUUAGACGCAAUUGGAACGAAAGACCCCAUGAAGCUUUACUGUAGCCUGAUAUUGAAAAAAUUUGGUUCAUGUAGAGGAUAGGUAGGAGACUUUGAUGUAUAUUCGCUAGGAUAUGCGGAGUCAUCCUUGGAAUACUACCCUUGAAUUACAUUUUUUCUAACUUACUUGCUUGAAUCAGCAAAAAGGACAUUGUCAGGUGGGCAGUUUGACUGGGGCGGUCGCCUCCCAAAAGGUAACGGAGGCGCGCAAAGGUACCCUCAGCACAGUUGGAUAUUGUGUUUCGAGUGCAAUGGCAUAAGGGUGCUUGACUGCGAGACUUACAAGUCGAGCAGGUAGGAAACUAGGUCAUAGUGAUCCGGUGGUUUCAGUAUGGAAUGGCCAUCGCUCAACGGAUAAAAGCUACUCUGGGGAUAACAGGCUGAUACUGCCCAAGAGUUCACAUCGACGGCAGUGUUUGGCACCUCGAUGUCGACUCAUCUCAUCCUGGAGCUGUAGCAGGUUCCAAGGGUUCGACUGUUCGCCGAUUAAAGAGAUACGUGAGUUGGGUUCAAACCGUCGUGAGACAGGUUGGUCCCUAUCUGUUGCGUCUGUAGGAAGAUUGUGGAGAGCUGCUCCUAGUACGAGAGGACCGGAGUGGACAUACCUCUAGUGCUCCAGUUGUCACGCCCGUGGCACCGCUGGGUAGCUACGUAUGGAAUUGAUAAACGCUGAAAGCAUCUAAGCGUGAAACAAACUCCGAAACUAAUCUUCCCACCCUUUUUAGGGAUAAGGAUCGUUGU